rnacentral:rRNA from 1 species
AUUGAACGCUGGCGGCAGGCCUAACACAUGCAAGUCGAGCGGCAGCGGGAAAGUAGCUUGCUACUUUUGCCGGCGAGCGGCGGACGGGUGAGUAAUGCCUGGGAAAUUGCCCAGUCGAGGGGGAUAACAGUUGGAAACGACUGCUAAUACCGCAUACGCCCUACGGGGGAAAGCAGGGGACCUUCGGGCCUUGCGCGAUUGGAUAUGCCCAGGUGGGAUUAGCUAGUUGGUGAGGUAAUGGCUCACCAAGGCGACGAUCCCUAGCUGGUCUGGGAGGAUGAGCAGCCACACUGGAACUGAGACACGGUCCAGACUCCUACGGGAGGCAGCAGUGGGGAAUAUUGCACAAUGGGGGAAACCCUGAUGCAGCCAUGCCGCGUGUGUGAAGAAGGCCUUCGGGUUGUAAAGCACUUUCAGCGAGGAGGAAAGGUCAGUAGCUAAUAUCUGCUGACUGUGACGUUACUCGCAGAAGAAGCACCGGCUAACUCCGUGCCAGCCGCCGCCGUAAGAC